GACGAACGCUGGCGGCGCGCUUAACACAUGCAAGUCGAGCGAGCGGCGGACGGGUGAGUAAUGUAUGGGGAUCUGCCUGAUGGCGGGGGAUAACUACUGGAAACGGUAGCUAAUACCGCAUACCAUCAGAUGAACCCAUAUGGGAUUAGCUAGUAGGUAAGGUAACGGCUUACCUAGGCGACGAUCCCUAGCUGGUCUGAGAGGAUGAUCAGCCACACUGGGACUGAGACACGGCCCAGACUCCUACGGGAGGCAGCAGUGGGGAAUAUUGCACAAUGGGCGCAAGCCUGAUGCAGCCAUGCCGCGUGUAUGAAGAAGGCCUUCGGGUUGUAAAGUACUUUCAGUCGGGAGGCGUUACCGACAGAAGAAGCACCGGCUAACUCCGUGCCAGCAGCCGCGGUAAUAC
rnacentral:rRNA from 1 species